rnacentral:rRNA from 1 species
AUUGAACGCUGGCGGCAGGCUUAACACAUGCAAGUCGAGCGGGGUGAUGGUGCUUGCACUAUCACUUAGCGGCGGACGGGUGAGUAAUGCUUAGGAAUCUGCCUAUUAGUGGGGGACAACAUCUCGAAAGGGACGCUAAUACCGCAUACGUCCUACGGGAGAAAGCAGGGGAUCACUUGUGACCUUGCGCUAAUAGAUGAGCCUAAGUCGGAUUAGCUAGUUGGUGGGGUAAAGGCCUACCAAGGCGACGAUCUGUAGCGGGUCUGAGAGGAUGAUCCGCCACACUGGGACUGAAACACGGCCCAGACUCCUACGGGAGGCAGCAGUGGGGAAUAUUGGACAAUGGGGGGAACCCUGAUCCAGCCAUGCCGCGUGUGUGAAGAAGGCCUUAUGGUUGUAAAGCACUUUAAGCGAGGAGGAGGCUCUUUUGGUUAAUACCCAAGAUGAGUGGACGUUACUCGCAGAAUAAGCACCGGCUAACUCUGUGCCAGCCGCCGCAGUAA